rnacentral:rRNA from 1 species
AUGAAUAUUCCGGAAAGAAUUAAGAUUUUCGGAUGGAGAGUCGCCACGGGAACGCUACCAACGAAGAAGAACAAAUGUAAACGCACAAUUGUUCAUGACAGCAUUUGUGACAUAUGUGGACAUGGGGAUGAGGAUGAAUACCAUGUGGUAUUAGCUUGCACGAAGAGCAGAGCGCUGCGUUUUGCUAUGAGAAAGGAGUGGAGCAUCCCAGAUGAACAUGAAUUCUGGUAUACCGGAAGUGACUGGCUCCAAGUCCUGAUGGACAAACAUGAACCGGAGAUGAGAGCUAAAAUCCUUCUUUUGCUAUGGCGUUCCUGGUUCCUACGGGAUGAUUGUGUGCAUCAUGAGGGCAAAGAAUCA